AAACCUUUACUGCUGGGGACACCACCGAAGGCUAAGGGUAGAGAUGGCUAAGGGGCCAUUGUUGUCAAGCUGUCAUCUGCCUGUUCGAAAUCCACAAAUGUGGCUUGACAGUCCCAUGACCUUGAGUACCCUACCACAGACCCUCAGCUUGACCCCAAGUCCAGGAGGGCUUUAGGCCCAGGGGACAGAGAGGGAGCAGAAACUUGAAGCCUUGGAGACCCUGCUCUUCAGCAAAGUGGAGGGGCCAGUCCUAUCUUUAGGUCUGAUUUUCUAUUUUAAAGAUAAAUUUAUUUUUAAAAUAUGUGUAUGUGAGUGUUGGUAUGUGGUGUGGGUGCCUUCAGAGGCCAGAGCUGCAGUUACAGGUGGCUGUGAGCCACCAGACAUGGAUGUUAGGGACUGAAUUUGAGUCUUCUGCAAAGGCAGCAAGCAGGCUCAACCACUGAGCCAUAUCCCCAGCCUGAGAUCUGCCUUUUGAUACUGUCCAAUCGGACUUCCUCCUUCCGGCCCUCUGGCCCUUGACCCUGUGUGCACCUAUCAGGUCUAUUUUUGAUUAAGUGCCCAGUUCCAUCCUGGUCACUCCUGUGUUCUCUCCUUCCUAGGUCAAAGGACAAUCCCUUUCCCAAAGCUUUGGCCAGUGACCUCCAGCCCCCAUCAAUAUUACCUUGCUAACUUCACACAGCAAAGCCUCAGGCCAGUCGUGCAAGGCAGCCAUGCCCCUGCCGCAUACUCAUCUUCCUGUCCCCUCGGCCCACCCUACCUGUGCCAUCAGUUUCAGACGCUCCUGCAUGUGUGCACACCCAUGGAGACACCAGAAGAUACCCAUCCUGUCACAAUGUGAGCUCUGCAGGUCUGAGGUUGCUUUCAAAUCCAGUUGCUACGGCUGCGCCAUCCAGCUGUCCCAGCUGCCUCAUGAUGGGAGUUACCCCUCCGACAUUGAGUGACUUAUAUGCUAUGUCAACACAGUACCUGGGAGAACACAGAAACACCAGCAACGCCACUUUAAUUACUCUUCUCAGAUGAGGUAAUGAUCGCUAAUGUGUAUCGGGUCCCAUUAAUUAACUCUCUGACUUUAAUUAACUUCUUG
rnacentral:lncRNA from 1 species